GACAUAUACAGGAAUAUGGCAGAGAUGUCAUAGCCGCAAGGUCUGUAUACAGGUGGUGCAUGGUUGUCGUCAGCUCGUGUCGUGAGAUGUUGGGUUAAGUCCCGCAACGAGCGCAACCCUCGUUCUGUGUUGCCAGCAUUUAGUUGGGGACUCACAGGAGACUGCCGGGGUUAACUCGGAGGAAGGUGGGGAUGACGUCAAAUCAUCAUGCCCCUUAUGUCUUGGGCUGCACGCAUGCUACAAUGGCUGGUACAAACGGCUGCAAUACCGCAAGGUGGAGCGAAUCCGAGAAAGCCAGUCUCAGUUCGGAUUGGGGUCUGCAACUCGACCCCAUGAAGUCGGAGUUGCUAGUAAUCGUAGAUCAGCAACGCUACGGUGAAUACGUUCCCGGGGCUUGUACACACCGCCCGUCACGUCACGAAAGUCGGUAACACCCGAAGUCAGUGGCCCAACCGCAAGGAGGGAGCUGCCGAAGGUG
rnacentral:rRNA from 1 species